UACAGAGGGUGCGAGCGUUGUUCGGAAUUAUUGGGCGUAAAGGGCGCGUAGGCGGUGCGGUAAGUCACCUGUGAAAUCUCCUGGCUCAACUGGGAGCUUGCAGGCGAAACUGCCGUGCUGGAGUGUGGGAGAGGUGCGUGGAAUUCCCGGUGUAGCGGUGAAGUGCGUAGAUAUCGGGAGGAACACCAGUGGCGAAGGCGACUUCCUGGCCUGUUCUUGACGCUGAGGCGCGAAAGCUGGGGGAGCAAACGGG
rnacentral:rRNA from 1 species